rnacentral:lncRNA from 1 species
AUGUUGUUGAACUGCGUUGCACAAAGUUUCUUGACCUCUUCUGCAACAAGGACACAACAGUGAGGAAGGAAGAGGCAGUCACUUAAAAGAAUUGUAGAAAAUAAUUUUCUUUCUGCCAUUGCCAAGUUUCCUGUGCUACAGGAAGGUCUUGUCAUAGUUUUCCAAGGAACAGAAAAUGGAUCAAAUGUGGAGCAGAGGCACCUGCUUAGAAUCUCAACAGUCAUGAUUUGUUCUAUUUACCUAUUUUUUAACCAUGUUUCUUAAUGCAAUGAAAAGACAACUUCUCAAAUUCUCCUGAAAUACCAAAUCCUACUUACCAUUUACUUCAAUCAGGUUUGCAUUUUUUUGAUUCAAAAUAACAUAGAGCUCCCGCCGAUCAGACUUCUUUCCAACAACCCA